AUGGAGGGGAUGCAGCAGAGCAUCGAUUUCGUCUUGCCCAAAUUAUGCUUGAACUGCUUCCAUGAAUGUGAGCCAAUCACCCAGACCAUGUGUAUGCUUGUACGCCUGACACCAAAGUGCUGCAUGACCAUCCAUGUAGAGCACGGCCGUACUGACCCAAUGCUCCGGCGGUGUCUGAUACAACUCAAAAUAGGUGUGGCAGAGGUCAAACCAGAGGCGCGGGGCAUCACCACUGAACCGAGGGAAGUCAUGCUUCGGCGGCUUGUGACAAUAAUUGGGGCGCGGUUUUCUGUACUCCCUCCAUGGCUUGGAGCACGAACUUGGUCUGGGCCGACGGAGUCGACGACGGUGCCGUCGUGGCCACCCCAAAUCAAUCCUACCCCGCUCAGGAUUUUGCGUCGGAUCGCCGGAGCAACCCAACACCUUUCGCGGUGGAUUUUACGGCCAGAUCGAGGGAGUGAGGUGCGGCGGCGGCUCGUACGAGUCUUUGAUACCAAGUUGUCACGACCCUCGUCGGAUCGGACCAGAAGAGCUAGAGGGAGAUCGGGAAGAGAAAGGGGAUCGAGGUGGAUGAAGGACAGUCGCACCAGAGGUGCCUUGCUAUCCGCCGUCUCGCCUGUAGGUGCAGCAGGAGAGGGGGGCGUGACAGUUGAGUCCUCGGACACCAUCGAUAACGUCAAGGCCAAGAUCCAGGACAAGGAGGGCAUCCCUCCGGACCAGCAGCGUCUCAUCUUUGCUGGCAAGCAGCUUGAGGAUGGCUGCACCCUAGCUGACUACAACAUCCAGAAGGAGUCCACCCUUCACUUGACCAUCACCCUGGAGGUUGAGUCCUCGGACACGAUCGACAACGUCAAGGCCAAGAUCCAGGAUAAGGAGGGCGUUCCCCCAGACCAGCAGCGCCUCAUCUUCGCUGGCAAGCAGCUGGAGGACGGUCGCACCCUGGCUGACUACAACAUCCAGAAGGAGUCCACCCUCCACCUUCUUGAGGAUGGCCGCACCCUAGCAGACUACAACAUCCAGAAGGAGUCCACCCUUCACUUGGUGCUUCGUCUCCGUGGUGGCCAGUGA
rnacentral:rRNA from 1 species